GCUGAAGUGGCUCAGUUGGCAGAGCAGCUGAUUCGUAAUCAGCAGACCGUGGGUUCGAGUCCCAUCUUCAGCUCCA
rnacentral:tRNA from 1 species